rnacentral:rRNA from 1 species
CAGCAGUAGCCGCGGUAAUACGGAGGGGGCUAGCGUUGUUCGGAAUUACUGGGCGUAAAGCGCACGUAGGCGGCUUGGUAAGUUAGAGGUGAAAGCCCGGAGCUCAACUCCGGAAUUGCCUUUAAGACUGCCGAGCUAGUAGGUGAGAGAGGUAAGUGGAAUUCCGAGUGUAGAGGUGAAAUUCGUAGAUAUUCGGAAGAACACCAGUGGCGAAGGCGGCUUACUGGCUCAUUCUAGACGCUGAGGUGCGAAAGCGUGGGGAGCAAACAGGAUUAGAUACCCCUGUAGUCCCUGUCUCUUAUAC